GAACUCCUGACCUCAAGUGAUCCACCUGCCUUGGUCUCCCAAAGUGCCGGGAUUAUAGGCGUGAGCCACCGCGCCCAGCCUCCCCUGCCUUCUGAGCAGGAUGCACCCCUCUGUCGAUUGCAUCACAUUGGAGCUCCUCCUCUUACAUUGUCUGGUAGGGGCCUGGCAAGGAAGUGUUAACACGAGAAAUGGAGAUCUCCUAUUCCUGACUCCCUCCUGGAACCAGCACGUCACUCCAGGCCCCCAGAGGCAUUGGCCCUCCUGUGAAUUCAACCAAGCGUGGUGUCCCAUAGCAAAUAUGGAAAACGCCUGGAAAAAGCCACCAGAUGGUGCUUCUCCAUGCCAAAUGAAGCUUCUACUUAAAGGGCAGCUGGGAAGCCUCCCGCCUUUUGUUCACAUCCCACUCCUUGUUUUCCUGCAUGAAGGUAAGAAGCCAGGUGUGGUUCCCGUGUCUGCUCUCCGCAGCCCUCCUGGGAGGGUUUGAAGAGACAGCUGAGAGCGGCCAGCUGGGAAGAGCACGCUUGCCUUGUCAGCGGAGAGUAGGUUCUGAGCUCUGCUGAGUCAGCGUGGCCAGGCAGGGCUGGGGGGCCUCAGGGCUCCAGGCCCCACCUCUUACCUCUACAGUCUCCCACCCCGGCUGCCUGCCCCAGCCGGUCAAAAUGCCAGGUAACCCCCGGUGGAGAUAGGCACCUGUGAGAAGUAUCACUGCUUCGUGGGUCAGGGGCUUGGACCCACCAGGGCUGUGUCACCUGCGGACCAUGUGAACUCAAGUGCGGUCUUCGCUAAGAGGCCAAGCAAGAUGAUGUAAUCACCUGAUGAGUUCCUCCUGCCCACUGCACAGACAAAACCAAUUCACUGAGACGACGGCAUUGCAAUAAAGAAAGAGCUUAAUUGACACAAGGUUGGCCACUCCUGUCUCAAAUCAAAUCAAUCUGAAAAUUUGGAGGCUAGGGUUUUUAAAGGAUACUUUGGUGGGCAGGGGGCUGGGGAAUGGGGGCUGCUGAUUGGUUGGGGAUGCAAUCACAGGGUUGUGGAAAUUGGUCCUUGUGCACCAAGUCCACUUCUGGGCGGGCUCCCCAGGACCGGCUGAGCCAAGAGUUGAAGGUCUGGGUGGGGCCAUCCGGUCAUCAGAAAUGCAGGUAAAGACAUCUCAAAAGGCCAAUCUUAGGUUCCACAAUAGUGAAUUGGGACAGUUGCAAAUCUUGUAUCCUCUGGAAUAAUGGCUGGUUGUCAUUUAACUAUGCCUGCGUCUUAGCGAAAUUUAGGCCCCUCUCAUCCUCCUAACCUGGUGGCCUUUCUUUUCUUUUCAUUUUUUUUUAAGAAACAGGUUCUUACUCUGUCCCCCAGGCAGGAAUGCAGUGGUGUGAUCGUGGCUCACUGCAGCUUAAAACUCCUGGGCUCAAGUGAUCCUCCCACUU
rnacentral:lncRNA from 1 species